rnacentral:rRNA from 1 species
CACGUAGGGGACGAGCGUUGUCCGGAUUCAUUGGGCGUAAAGCGCGCGUAGGCGGCUCGGAAAGUCGGUCGUGAAAUGCCGGGGCUCAACCCCGGGACUGCGUCCGAUACUUCCGGGCUGGAGGUAGGUAGGGGAGAUCGGAAUUCCUGGUGUAGCGGUGAAAUGCGUAGAUAUCAGGAGGAACACCAACGGCGAAGGCAGCUUUCUGGACGAUAACUGACUCUGAGGCACGAAGGCCAGGGGAGCGAACGGG